rnacentral:rRNA from 1 species
UACAGAGGUCUCAAGCGUUGUUCGGAUUCAUUGGGCGUAAAGGGUGCGUAGGCGGCGCGGUAAGUCGGGUGUGAAAUCUCGGAGCUUAACUCCGAAACUGCAUUCGAUACUGCCGUGCUUGAGGACUGGAGAGGAGACUGGAAUUUACGGUGUAGCGGUGAAAUUCGUAGAUAUUGGGAAGAACACCGGUGGCGAAGGCGGCUCUCUGGACCGAGACUGACGCUGAGGCGCGAAAGCGUGGGGAGCAAACAGG